GAUGAGAACGUAGUAAAAUGCGAUAAGUAAUGUGAAUUGCAGAAUUCAGUGAAUCAUCGAAUCUUUGAACGCACAUUGCGCCCGCCAGUAUUCUGGCGGGCAUGCCUGUUCGAGCGUCAUUUCAACCCUCAAGCACAGCUUGGUGUUGGGACUCGCGUUAAUUCGCGUUCCCCAAAUUGAUUGGCGGUCACGUCGAGCUUCCAUAGCGUAGUAGUAAAACCCUCGUUACUGGUAAUCGUCGCGGCCACGCCGUUAAACCCCAACUUCUGAAUGUUGACCUCGGAUCAGGUAGGAAUACCCGCUGAACUUAAGCAUAUCAAUAAGCGGAGGA
rnacentral:misc_RNA from 1 species